AAUAUCAGCCAACUCGACAAAGACUUCUCCAGCAACAAGUAGAACCAUCGCCACUUACGUGCAGUCAUCGAUCGAGAUUUCGAGAACAAGGCUAGCAAAAAGUGUGCCCCUCCUUGCAGCGAGAUUUCGAGCGCUGGUGCCGUGAAUUUCGCGGCGAUUAUUGUGAUGAUGGGGCUCGAUAACUCUAGCCUGGAAAGAGAAAGGAAAGAAGAGAAGGGACCCCAAGCAGAAACCAUGACGAGCCAGGAGGCGGACGAGUGCCGUGAGCGGCUCUUCAAGGCCCUUAUGGCUUGCACGAACAGCGGUGACAUGGAAAGCUUCAACUGCCAAGUCUACUUCGAAUUGCUUAACAAGUGUCGGGAUGCUAAAUAAGGAUAUGUUCGAGCUUGGUAUUUCUCCAUGUUCGAGCUUAGCGCUAAUCAUUGGAGUAAAUCUGAAAACAAGAUGCGCAGCAAGAAGAGAUGUAUAGAACAUCGGAUUGUCAACGAGUCAUUUUUAUUAGUAGCACUUCAGAUUAGACCAAUAAAAAGUGGAAGUUUUCAUAAUAUUAGGCUUUGGUUCUAUGUCAUGCAUGCUUGGCGGUAUUAGUUUGCGUCCUUGUACACCCGGGAACUUUUUCCCCCGCUUUUGUAUCAGCAUUUGUGGGAUAUUCCAAGCUCCUGCCGAUGAAGAUGUAUGUAGGAUCAGACAUGUGACGGUGGAGAC